GGCCAGGUGGCAGAGUGGCCUAAUGCGCUGCACUCGAAUUGAAGCUAUUUAAAGCGUUUAUCGUUAUGCAGUUCCUUCGGGAGCGUCUGUUCGAAUCAGGCCCUGGUCG